CUUGACGACCAUAGAGCGUUGGAACCACCUGAUCCCAUCCCGAACUCAGUAGUGAAACGAUGCAUCGCCGAUGGUAGUGUGGGGUCUCCCCAUGUGAGAGUAGGUCAUCGUCAAGC
rnacentral:rRNA from 2 species